rnacentral:rRNA from 1 species
GAUGAACGCUGGCGGCGUGCCUAAUACAUGCAAGUCGAGCGAACAGACGAGGUGCUUGCGCCUCUGACGUUAGCGGCGGACAGGUGAGUAACAGGUAGAUAACCUAUCUAUAAGACUUGGAUAACUGCGGGAAACCGGAGCUAAGACCGGUUCAUAUAUUCAACCGCAUGGUUCAAUAGUGAAAGCCGGGUUUGGUGUUACUUCUAGAUGGUUCCGCGCCGCAUUAGCUAGUUGGGAAGGUAACGGCUUACCAAGGCAACGAUGCGCAGCCCACCUGAGAGAGUGGUAGGCCACACUGGAACUCAGCCAGGGACAAUACUCCUGCGGGAGGGCCCAGUCUGCAAUCUUACGCAACGGGCGAGAGCCUGACGGAGUAACGCAGAGCGAGAGACGAAGAUCUUGGGAUCGUAAAACUCGGUUUUUAGUGAAAAACCAAUGUGUACGUAGAUGUGCACGUCGUGACGGUACCUGAACAAAAAGCCACGGCUAACUACGCG